UACGUAGGUGGCGAGCGUUAUCCGGAAUCAUUGGGCGUAAAGGGUGCGUAGGCGGCAGAUUAAGUUUGUGGUGAAAGAGCAAGGCUCAACCUUGUUAAGCCACAAAAACUGGUCAGCUAGAGUGCAGUAGAGGCAAGUGGAAUUCCAUGUGUAGCGGUAAAAUGUGUAGAUAUAUGGAGGAACACCGGUGGCGAAGGCGGCUUGCUGGGCUGUAACUGACGCUGAGGCACGAAAGCGUGGGGAGCAAAUAGG
rnacentral:rRNA from 1 species